AGUGAACGCUGGCGGCGUGCUUAACACAUGCAAGUCGAACGAGAACGGAUUAUAGCUUGCUAUAAUUGUCAGCUAAGUGGCGCACGGGUGAGUAAUGUAUAGGUAAUAUGCCUCUUACUAAGGGAUAACAAAUGGAAACGUUUGCUAAUACCUUAUACUCCUUAUUAACAGAAGUUAAUAAGGGAAAGAUUUAUUGGUAAGAGAUUAGCCUGUAUUGUAUCAGUUAGUUGGUGGGGUAAUGGCUUACCAAGACUAUGACACAUAACUGGUUUGAGAGGAUGAUCAGUCACACUGGAACUGAGACACGGUCCAGACUCCUACGGGAGGCAGCAGUGGGGAAUAUUGCACAAUGGACGAAAGUCUGAUGCGGCAACGCCGCGUGGAGGAUGACACAUUUCGGUGCGUAAACUCCUUUUAUAUGAGAAGAUAAUCACGGUAUUAUAUGAAUAAGCACCGGCUAACUCCGUGCCAGCAGCCGCGGUAA
rnacentral:rRNA from 1 species